rnacentral:rRNA from 1 species
GGCUUCCGUAGGUGAACCUGCGGAGGGAUCAUUACUGAGUUUACGCUCUACAACCCUUUGUGAACAUACCUAUAACUGUUGCUUCGGCGGGUAGGGUCUCCGCGACCCUCCCGGCCUCCCGCCUCCGGGCGGGUCGGCGCCCGCCGGAGGAUAACCAAACUCUGAUUUAACGACGUUUCUUCUGAGUGGUACAAGCAAAUAAUCAAAACUUUUAACAACGGAUCUCUUGGUUCUGGCAUCGAUGAAGAACGCAGCGAAAUGCGAUAAGUAAUGUGAAUUGCAGAAUUCAGUGAAUCAUCGAAUCUUUGAACGCACAUUGCGCCCGCCAGCAUUCUGGCGGGCAUGCCUGUUCGAGCGUCAUUUCAACCCUCAAGCUCUGCUUGGUGUUGGGGCCCUACAGCCGAUGUAGGCCCUCAAAGGUAGUGGCGGACCCUCCCGGAGCCUCCUUUGCGUAGUAACUUUACGUCUCGCACUGGGAUCCGGAGGGACUCUUGCCGUAAAACCCCCCAAUUUUCCAAAGGUUGACCUCGGACAAGGUAGAAUAACCCCGGCU